rnacentral:rRNA from 1 species
UACGUAGGUGGCAAGCGUUGUCCGGAUUUACUGGGUGUAAAGGGCGUGCAGCCGGGAAGACAAGUCAGAUGUGAAAUCCCGCGGCUCAACCGCGGAACUGCAUUUGAAACUGUUUUUCUUGAGUACCGGAGAGGUCAUCGGAAUUCCUUGCGUAGCGGUGAAAUGCGUAGAUAUAAGGAAGAACACCAGUGGCGAAGGCGGAUGACUGGACGGCAACUGACGGUGAGGCGCGAAAGCGUGGGGAGCAAGCAGG